AUAAUGGCGUAAAUCUCACUUAUUCUCUCCUUGUAUCCCCUAUUUAUUGGAUUCCACUAGUGGUGAAUCAUGUCCUGAUUCCUGCUUCACUACAUCUAUAAAUAAAUAGGAAUGAGCCUAUGUAUGCCCAUAAAGUUAAAUUUAGAUUUAAACAAUGUAUUAAAAUCAAUAAAAUUCCUAAAUCAGAGUCGCACUCAACUCUCUUUCUCACUCCAGACAGUCCCCUUUUUUCCUCUAUAGGAAACUUCUAGAUAUCUUAGACUCUCCCUAAAGCUCACAGGUACAAAUAGCCCCUUAUCCACUUCCCUGACUUGUCCCCAAUAGUCUCUCUACUCUUUGUCAUCACUCUCCCACUCAAAUAGCCAUUUAUCCCUCUGCUUAUAUGGUUCCCAUCACACUACUACCUAAAUUUUCCUUGAAUUUUAGCAUAAUUACCAUGGCAGCUCCUAUUUGAUAACCCAUAUGUUACCUCAUCUUUGGUCUACCCAGUCGCCCCUUUCAACCACUCCUUUGUAGGUUACCCAACACAAUAAUCAUCUGCUACAUAUUCUCAAUUUUUAACCUUACCAUUUGUAAUUCCAUCUUUUAUAUUUUGGUUUACCUAUUUCAAGAUAUUUUUCUUCACUCUUCAACCUAUGUUCAACUUUAUUUUACCCACUCAUAGUCCCUAAGUGCUCAUUUUCUUCUACUUAAUAAUUUCAUACUAAUCUGCCUCCGAUUUGGUUGCCCACAUAGUAACCAGAAUGAUAAUAUCAACAACCAUUCCACACCAUUUUAUUUUCACAUACCUGCAAUCCUUUGGUGUUUUCCACCACUCUAUUUUCCAACUUAGCAUAUACUAUUUUAUAUUGAAUGUCAAACACAUAUUUAAACUGUAACAGCUCAAACUCUCAUGUAGAGUCUUGA
rnacentral:lncRNA from 1 species